UCAUAGAUCAAAGUAUAAGAUUGACAAAAGAGCGACAGAUCGUGUCCUAUCGAGCCAAAGGUUACUAGAUUCAACCAAUUACUACGCACCGAAUGACGUGACCUUUGGAGAGAUUCAUCAUCAUUCUACGACUCUGUCCAAGUAUUUUUUUCACCAUGCUUCACUUCAUUUAUUUAAUCAUUAAACAACAUCACAAAGCACAAACUCCGACACCCUCCAUAACUUUGUUCUCAUUUUUUAGGCCCCUCAAUCUUUGUGGCCCAAACCUCCCAUCCAUCUUCCUUCUAAGUUUUUGAAGUGAUUGU
rnacentral:lncRNA from 1 species